rnacentral:rRNA from 1 species
CCUACGGGUGGCAGCAGUGAGGAAUAUUGGUCAAUGGGCGGAAGCCUGAACCAGCCAAGUAGCGUGCAGGAUGACGGCCCUACGGGUUGUAAACUGCUUUUAUACGGGAAUAACGCGCCUUACGUGUAGGGCUUUGCAUGUACCGUAUGAAUAAGGACCGGCCAAUUCCGUGCCAGGAGCCGCGGUAAUACGGAGGAUGCGGGCGUUAUCCGGUUUUUUUGGGUUAAACGGGUGCGUAGGCGGAAUAUCAAGUUAGCGGUAAAAAUUCGGGGCUCAACCCCGGCGUGCCGUUGAAACUGAUGUUCUUGAGUGGGCGAGAAGUAAGCGGAAUGCGUGGUGUAGCGGUGAAAUGCAUAGAUAUCACGCAGAACUCCGAUUGCGAAGGCAGCAUACCGGAGCCCAACUGACGCUGAAGCACGAAAGCGUGGGUAUCGAACAGGAUUAGAUACCCCAGUAGUC